CAGCCGCCACGGGAAUACAGAGGGUGCAAGCGUUAAUCGGAAUUACUGGGCGUAAAGCGCGCGUAGGUGGUUUGUUAAGUUGGAUGUGAAAGCCCCGGGCUCAACCUGGGAACUGCAUCCAAAACUGGCAAGCUAGAGUACGGUAGAGGGUGGUGGAAUUUCCUGUGUAGCGGUGAAAUGCGUAGAUAUAGGAAGGAACACCAGUGGCGAAGGCGACCACCUGGACUGAUACUGACACUGAGGUGCGAAAGCGUGGGGAGCAAACAGGAUUAGAUACCCCUGUAGUCCCUGUCUCUUAACA
rnacentral:rRNA from 1 species